CUUCAUUAGUCCCCAGCUUGCAACGAAGUCUCAGCUCAAAGGACUUUCCUAUAAAUAUAUGUGCAGUUCUGACUAUUUCACACCACUCUGACAGCACAGGCUUGCAUCAAGCAAACUCACCACAUGAUACAUCAGCAAUGAGGAGGAAGGAAGAGACAAAGAAGGUGAGGGCAGUGUUUCAUCAAAUGCUCCUCAGGUAUUCUGGAGUGGAUUUAUGCAGCAGGCAGUAAUACAACACAAAAGGCUACCAACGCUGAAGGCACUUCUAAUCACCCUGUCCAACAGGCAUCUCAAGGAAGCCCAGAGGAAGUGAAGCUGGAGGUUGCAAAGCCAGGAUUUCCUUGGAGGCUGAUCCUUCCCCUCCUCUGUCCCCAGGCCUCCUGGGUGUGUGGCAGCAGGCAGGACAGGAGCCUGCCCUGCUCUUCCCCUCUUGUUUGGGACUGUAGGGUUAAACAGAGCUUUGGCUACAGGUCUUUCAUUCUAACAACCAAACCCACGCUGGCAAUAAAUCAGGUGGCAAACAACUGA
rnacentral:lncRNA from 1 species